rnacentral:rRNA from 1 species
CCUACGGGAGGCAGCAGUGGGGGAUAUUGCACAAUGGGGGAAACCCUGAUGCAGCGACGCCGCGUGUGGGAAGACGGUCCUCUGGAUUGUAAACCACUGUCCCCAGGGACGAAGAUGACGGUACCUGGGGAGGACGCUCCGGCUAACUACGUGCCAGCAGCCGCGGUAAUACGUAGGGAGCGAGCGUUGUCCGGAAUUACUGGGUGUACAGGGAGCGUAGGCGGGACUGCAAGUUGGGUGUCAAAUCUACCGGCUCAACCGGUAGCCGCACUCAAAACUGCAGUUCUUGAGUGAAGUAGAGGCAGGCGGAAGUCCUAGUGUAGCGGUGAAAUGCGUAGAUAUUAGGAGGAACACCAGUGGCGAAGGCGGCCUGCUGGGCUUUUACUGACGCUGAGGCUCGAAAGUGUGGGGAGCAAACAGGAUUAGAUACCCUUGUAGUC